AAUGGUACCCAACCAAGUGAACCACAAUGGUCGGGGCUAAAUUUUAAUUUUUUUUUGAAAAGCAGUCUUAAUCUCAUAGUUCUAAAGAUAUUCCUAAAAAGCAAUAGAUCUGCCUAGAUGUCAUCUGGACCAGUGGCUUGUUACAGGCUGUUUUUCAUCCAGGAUGGUCUACGAUAGUGUUUUGGAACUCUAGAGAGCCCUGCUGCCACUACCAGAUCAGUUUAAAUUAGGAUGGGAGGUGGGCAAGGGGUUUGGAUUGGCCCCAGAAAUAGUGAUUUUAUAUGCCCCUAGGUAGUUCUAAUGUACAGUCACGACUGAGAAAGAACUGCUGGUGUGGUGGGGAAGAGCAUGGGUUCUGAAGCCUGACUGCCUGUGUUCAAAUCCUGACCUGUUUCUUUCUACUCUGUGGCUUGGGGAAGUUAUUUAGCCUUCAAGAAACUCAGUUUCCUCAUGUGGAGAGACAGAUAACAGUCGUUCUCACAGGGUUGUUAGAAGGGUCUAACAAUGUGUUACAGUUCUUAGGUUCUUAGAGUGGUGUCUGGUACACAGUAAGGCCCCGAUAGAUGUCAAUUAUUUUCAUUGUACGGCAUUUUCUGUCUUCCAAGCAGUCAUCUAAGUGGCCUAGCCUCUUGGGAGAAUGGGGAUGUUGGAAUAUACAUCUUGACUCCUUCAGCCAUGCUAGGUGUCAAGUUAUUUCUUCUUCCUAAUAACCAACAGCAGUAAUAAAAGAUGCCAUUGAUAAUGGGUACUGCGUUCCACUCUGCUGUGUGGUUAACUUGUCUGUGGUUAAACUGUUUUGUGAAGGGAAAGUAAUUAUCUUUUCUGUUUUGCUGAUGGGGAAACUAGGGGGCUGAGGGGUCGAGAAACUUGUCCAAGGUCCCACAGCCAGGUAGCAAGGCAGUGAUUCGAAGGCCGGUCUGACUGAACUCCGUGCUCCUGAUCUCUCUGCCAGCAUUCAGGGACAGAGUGUGGGAAAUGCUGCACUCACCAUUCAGCAUCAAGAGUGAUUUGCUGCUUACUCCUUAGUCACUCACAGUGUCAAGCAGCUUUGGCUUCCUUAUCCCCGAGAGCAAAGCUGUCAUGGUUGGAACGGACCUUGAAGGUCAUCAAAAUUCUCCUCCUGCCCAGCCCUGCAGGCCUUUUGGCAAAGUUCCCAGUGGUCUUUUGGCUUCUGCCUGAACGUUUCCUAGUGAUGGCAGAACUGCUUACGAAGCAGUUGUUUUUGGUUUUGGAUACAUGUUAAUACAUGUUCCCCAUGUUGAACAGAAAUAGCUUUCUAGUAAUUUCUGUUAGUUACUGUGUGACCCUUAGAACAACGUUGUCCUUUCCUCAUUCACAUAAUAAUCCUUCAGGUGAUUGGGCAGUAAGCCCAUUUCCUAGACUUUCUUCAUGUGACUUGACUUUCUGAUCUCUCUUCUAAACUCUUUUCAUAAAUGUCCUUCAUAAAGUGAGUUGUAGAUUCCAGACGUGGUUGGAUCCAUGGACAGUUUGGCAGGGCUGUACCACAGUUUCUGUCCCAGCCGAGUCAGUGUUGUACUCACCUUCUAGUCAACCAAAGCACGCACGUCUUUCCCCUAAGGAUUCUACCCCUCAAAGCAGCCUUUCUUGUCCUGUACUUGAAGCCCUGUUUAAAAAUUACUUUUCUGCUUACCCCAUCAGACUACAUCUUGUUAGUUUCAGGACUCCCUUUCAGUGUGUCAUGUUCAUUUUCAUCUUCAGUGUACCUUUCACUAGUUCAGCUCUGUUCCGUGCUGUGGUGUGGCAGGCUUCUGCAUCGUCACCCAGGUGUUGGUAAAGGUUGAUCAGAGUAAUCCCGUUUCAUGCCAUGAAACAUAGGUGUAUGAGUUACAAGUCUUAGUUUAUUAUUAGGCCCACAUUUCAUUUUAUUGUCAUGAGGAGCUAGAUUACAUGCCUUAAUGAUCUCAAGACAGAACUCCAUCUAUGGUAUUAUUUGAGUUUCUUGGCCUGGUAGUGCUGUCGAAAAAAGAGAAGAGGUUAGUGUGGCUUGCUUCUUGAAGAACUCAUCAUUUUCGAUUGGGAAAGCUUGAUUUCUUAAGGCAUCGUAGAUUAUUUGAUAAACCUACUUUUCAAAAAUUUCUGAGAAUGACAAUCUUUUCAAUCUCUUGUUUGGGAAUUUCUUUUUUCCUCUUUUAUGAAAUUCAGCACAGGAUCAGUCCUUCUCAAGGCUUUAAGGUAUUUCACUCCUUUCCUGGGACUCUUUGGAGAUUACUGCCUAAUUCUGAAACCACAACUGCGCGAUUCAGUCAGUGCAUCGGGAUGUAAUUCUGGACCAGUAGACUUAAACUUGUUAAAACUAAUUCUUUUGCUUUUGUGACUUGUCUUGGAUUUUAGUUCUUCUUAAUGAUAGCUAUUCUACUGCCAAUUAUAGAAAUAGAUGAACAGUUCUGCCUUUUUUCCUGCAUCAUCUUCCCAAAGCAGUGUUGUUCUAAUACUUUUUUAAAAUGCCAUCAGCACUUUUUUUAU